GUUGCGCGAGAGGCGGAGUCCAGAGGGGAGCAACAGUUAUGAGGGCGGAACUUAGAAAUGAUGAAGGCGGAGCCAGGGUCUGUAGUAAUUGGGCUGAGGACCGGGUUUAGGAGCGCAAAAAGUGGAGUCCAGGAGUAGAGGAAAUAGAUUGAGGAAGGGGCUUGGAGCAUGAGAGGCAGAGUCCUAGUGUGGAGCAACAGGACAAGCGCGGAACUUAGGCAGGCAAGAGGCUGAGCCCAGGCCUGUGGCACCAAUCUGGGGGCAGACUGUGUUGCUGAUAUAGAACUGUUGGCUUUUCCCCAGCAUCAUGUCUGUCUGCAUACCACCAUGCUUCCUGCCAUGAUGAUAAUGGAUUAAACCUCUGAACUGUCCACUUUGAUUUCCAAAGACAGCAUUGCCUUUACUGAAGGCCAGCUACAUCAAAUGGCAUACCACAUGAUCAUGAUGAGUUGUCCUGUGAAGGAACCGAUCCAUCUGCAAUACAACCACUGUUUGGAAAAUUCAUCUUCUUAUUGAGCUUGGCUGUCUGCUACAUGCUCCCUGUGGAGUGGAACAUCCACAGACAUUUUAAAGGAACAGCUUUGUGUCCCACCAAAGCUCCUGGCACUACUGACUUUGGAUCUGUGGGCAGUAUUUGGAUCAAUAGCAGUAUUGUUGCCGAUUGAAAACUCAGGGAGACGCACACACAUGUACCCCAGGUUAGAUUCAGACUUCUGUGUUCCUGAGGAUUGCUUUAACUUGUGAUCUCCCUGGCCCUGCCUCCCCAGGGCUGGAUUUGUAGGAAUGCACAGCCAUGCCUGGUUCAUGUGUGCUGAGGACCAAUCCCAGGGCCCUCUGCUUGCUGGGUGCUGAGGACUGAAAACAUGGACUCACACAUCAUACAUGUGUAAGCUCUCCCAUCUACCACUGAGCUUCAGGUUUGUCAGCCAUCUCUCCACAUACACAUUAAGCAUUUGAAAAUAAACACUGCUGAUAUUGGAUGAUAGCAAGGUUCAGAAGACCUUCCAGAGGAUUUCGAGGAUCUUCUGUCCUCAAGGAAUCGAUUACAGAUUUCUACUUGCAGAAAAGGCAAGAAUGGCUGAUUAGGAAAAAAGAUACUCCCAAGGGAGGAGUUGGGCUGGAGGAAAGAGAUAGAUGGAAAACCACCCUGCCAUAAAGGACCUGGGCUCUUCUGGCUCACAGCCACCCAUCAUGGCUUCUCUUAAUGGGGCCCUGGGUGCAACUUGGUUCCUUACACUUAGUAGCAAGUUCUUGGCCAACUGAGCCAUUACCCCAACUCUGUGUUGUCUUUUCUAUACAUCCUCAAGCUGCUACAGACAAAAGAGAAUUGAGACAUUGUCUCUCCCUAAAUCUGGUCCAAAGUAUGAAGAUACUGUUUCCUU